rnacentral:rRNA from 1 species
UCCAGACUCCUACGGGAGGCAGCAGUGGGGGAUAUUGCACAAUGGGGGAAACCCUGAUGCAGCGACGCCGCGUGGGUGAAGAAGUAUUUCGGUAUGUAAAGCCCUAUCAGCAGGGAAGAAAGAAGACGGUACCUGACUAAGAAGCCCCGGCUAACUACGUGCCAGCAGCCGCGGUAAUACGUAGGGGGCGAGCGUUAUCCGGAUUCACUGGGUGUAAAGGGAGCGUAGACGGCCGUGCAAGCCAGGAGUGAAAGCCCGGGGCCCAACCCCGGGACUGCUCUUGGAACUGUGCGGCUGGAGUGCGGGAGGGGCAGGCGGAAUUCCUGGUGUAGCGGUGAAAUGCGUAGAUAUCAGGAGGAACACCGGCGGCGAAGGCGGCCUGCUGGACCGCGACUGACGUUGAGGCUCGAAAGCGUGGGGAGCGAACAGGAUUAGAUACCCGUGUA